GACGAACGCUGGCGGCGUGCCUAAUACAUGCAAGUAGAACGCACAGUUUAUACCGUAGCUUGCUACACCAUAGACGGUGAGUUGCGAACGGGUGAGUAACGCGUAGGUAACCUGCCGGGUAGCGGGGGAUAACUAUUGGAAACGAUAGCUAAUACCGCAUAAUAUUAAUUAUUGCAUGAUAAUUAAUGGAAAGGUGCAAUUGCACCACUACCAGAUGGACCUGCGUUGGAUUAGCUAGUAGGUGAGGUCACGGCUCACCUCGGCGACGAUACAUAGCCGACCUGCGAGGGUGGUCGGCCGCCCUGGGACUGUGACACGGCCCAGACUCCUUCGGGAGGCAGCAGUAGGGAAUCUUCGGCAAUGGACGAAAGUCUGACCGAGCAACGCCGCGUGAGUGAAGAGGGUUUUCGGAUCGUAAAGCUCUGUUGUAAGGGAAGAACGGGUGUGAGAGUGGAAAGUUCACACUGUGACGGUAUCUGACCAGAAAGGGACGGCUAACUACGUG
rnacentral:rRNA from 1 species